CCUCACUUGUCCCGAAUAAAACAGACCUCUCUCCGUUCUGUUUUUUUCUUUAACUGUUCGUUGCUAGUAGUAGGGUUUUUGUAUCUCAUGGACGCCUACGCACUGCAUCUAGCCAUGGCGGCUCUCGUCGGCGCCUCCUUUGUGGCCGUAUCGGCCUACCAUAUGCACAGGAAAACCCUAACGCAGUUACUUGAGUUUGCCAAAUCGCUCGAGAGAGAACGAGACGAGAACAACAUCAUCUCCGACGCGGAAUCGCCGCAGCAUGUUAAACGCCAUGCGUCGCGUCGCGCUCGGGAGAGGCGGAAGGGAAACAGCUAUUAUCGCCGCGGCUCGGCUUCGUUACCGGACGUUAUGACCUUUUCUGUUCCAGCGAUUGAUGGCGAUGAUAGGCGAAACGGUCCGCUUCCUGUCGACGGGAUUCCCCCCGGGCUUCCUAGGCUGCACACACUGCCUGAAGGGAAAUCUGCUGGACAUGGAGAUUCAACAAAGAGGGUCGGGAGUCUUAUCAGGCCAACUUCUCCUAAAUCUCCUGUUGCUAGUGGUAGUGCCUUUGAGAGUGUGGAAGGAUCUGAUGAAGAGGAUAAUAUGACUGACGGUUCUAAACUGGACACUACUUACCUGCAUACUAACGGAAAUGCGGGCCCGAAUUUAGCAGACCACAAUCCCAAUGGAGAGCAAAUGUCUACAGCUCCUUCAAGCAUGAUUCGAUCCCAUAGUGUAUCUGGUGACCUGCAUGGGGUUCAGCCUUAUCCUAUUGCAGCUGAUAUUUUGAGGAAAGAGCCAGAGCAAGAAACUUUUGCUCAACUUGUGAUCACUCCUACUGAGGUGCCAUCUCCGGAUGAAGUAGAGGCCUAUGUGGUACUUCAAGAAUGCCUUGAAAUGCGAAGGAGAUAUUUAUUCAGGGAAGCAAUUGCUCCAUGGGAGAAAGAAGUAAUAUUGGACCCCAGUACACCAAAGCCUAAUCGAGAACCAUUUUCUUUUACUUCCGCGGGAAAAUCUAAUCAUUACUUUGAAAUGCAAGAUGGAGUUAUUCAUGUUUAUCCGGAUAAAGAUUCAAAGGAAGAGCUUUUCCCUGUCGCGGAUGCAACGACCUUUUUCACCGAUCUGCAUCACAUACUUCGAGUUAUUGCAUUAGGAAAUAUGAGAACUCUAUGUUUUCAGCGGUUGGCUCUUCUGGAACAAAAGUUCAAUCUUCAUUUGAUGCUUAAUGCGGAUAGGGAGUUUCUUGCUCAGAAAAGCGCACCUCAUCGUGACUUUUAUAAUGUUAGGAAAGUUGAUACACAUGUCCAUCAUUCGGCAUGCAUGAACCAGAAACAUCUUUUAAGGUUUAUAAAGUCCAAAUUGAGGAAAGAGCCUGAUGAGGUUGUGAUAUUCCGUGAUGGGACAUACUUGACCCUGAAAGAAGUAUUUGAGAGCUUGGAUUUAACCGGGUAUGAUCUCAACGUUGAUCUUUUGGAUGUUCAUGCAGACAAGAGCACAUUUCAUCGCUUUGAUAAGUUCAAUCUUAAGUAUAAUCCCUGUGGUCAAAGUCGGCUGAGGGAAAUUUUCCUUAAGCAGGACAAUCUUAUCCAAGGUCGUUUCCUUGGUGAGCUGACGAAGCAAGUGUUUUCUGACCUUGAAGCAAGUAAAUAUCAGAUGGCUGAAUAUCGAAUAUCAAUAUAUGGAAGGAAACAAAGUGAAUGGGACCAAAUGGCAAGUUGGAUUGUGAACAAUGAAUUGUACAGUGAGAAUGUUGUAUGGUUAAUUCAGCUUCCACGGCUGUACAAUGUGUACAAGGAAAUGGGGAUUGUGACAUCCUUCCAGAACAUUCUUGACAACAUCUUUAUUCCACUGUUUGAGGCUACUGUGGAUCCUGAUUCUCAUCCUCAGUUGCAUGUUUUCCUGAAACAGGUUGUUGGGUUGGAUUUAGUUGAUGAUGAGAGCAAGCCUGAAAGACGCCCCACAAAACAUAUGCCCACCCCGGCUCAAUGGACCAAUGUAUUCAAUCCGGCAUAUUCAUACUAUGUGUAUUACUGCUAUGCUAACCUCUACACAUUAAACAAGCUUCGGGAGUCCAAGGGCAUGACGACUAUCAAAUUCCGCCCACAUUCUGGAGAGGCUGGUGACAUUGACCACCUUGCUGCAACAUUUCUCACGGCUCAUAAUAUUGCACAUGGAAUAAAUUUAAGAAAAUCUCCUGUUCUCCAGUAUCUCUAUUAUUUGGCACAGAUUGGUCUUGCUAUGUCUCCUCUGAGCAACAACUCCUUGUUUUUGGACUAUCAUCGGAAUCCUUUACCUAUGUUUUUCCUACGGGGUCUCAAUGUGUCACUAUCAACAGAUGAUCCACUUCAAAUUCACCUAACUAAAGAACCUUUGGUGGAAGAAUAUAGCAUAGCUGCUUCUGUGUGGAAAUUGAGUUCAUGUGACUUAUGUGAGAUUGCCCGAAAUUCAGUCAUCCAAUCAGGUUUCUCACAUGCUUUAAAGUCACAUUGGAUUGGGAUGAAGUACUACAAAAGAGGACCAGAUGGAAAUAAUAUUCACAAAACAAAUGUGCCCCAUAUCCGGGUGAAAUUCCGUGACACGAUCUGGAGAGAGGAGAUGCAACAAGUUUAUUUGGGGAAGGCAAUAAUUCCCGAAGAAGUGGACAGGUGAUGGCUGCAACAAGUUAUUUGAUCCAUUAUUGGAAACAGUUCGUUAUGUUUGUAGAGAUGGAGGUUAAGUACCUGCACUUGAACCUAUUGAUACUUUGUGAAAAGGGAGAAAGCAUUGAUUAUGGAAGAUGAGAAACGGCUUGGGACAAACACGGUGAACUCAAAACAAGAUUGGAGGACUGAGGAAGACCAUUGUACAUGAUGGAACGGAACAAUAAGAUGGAGAAAUCCACUACAUAUCAGACAGAGCUCCAAUCUAUAUACACAGACAUAGCAACAAGUAGUCGGAUACUAUAUUGAUAAUAU